rnacentral:rRNA from 1 species
AACGCUGGCGGCGUGCCUAAUACAUGCAAGUCGAGCGAACAGAUAAGGAGCUUGCUCCUUUGACGUUAGCGGCGGACGGGUGAGUAACACGUGGGUAACCUACCUAUAAGACUGGGAUAACUUCGGGAAACCGGAGCUAAUACCGGAUAACAUUUGGAACCGCAUGGUUCUAAAGUGAAAGAUGGUUUUGCUAUCACUUAUAGAUGGACCCGCGCCGUAUUAGCUAGUUGGUAAGGUAACGGCUUACCAAGGCAACGAUACGUAGCCGACCUGAGAGGGUGAUCGGCCACACUGGAACUGAGACACGGUCCAGACUCCUACGGGAGGCAGCAGUAGGGAAUCUUCCGCAAUGGGCGAAAGCCUGACGGAGCAACGCCGCGUGAGUGAUGAAGGGUUUCGGCUCGUAAAACUCUGUUAUUAGGGAAGAACAAAUGUGUAAGUAACUGUGCACGUCUUGACGGUACCUAAUCAGAAAGCCACGGCUAACUACGUG